GUAAGUCAGAGAAGACACUUUGGUAAUUGCUGAAAUCUUGACUGUAUUAAGACUGACUGUCCCUGUGUUCUGCUGUGGCACCAGCUGACAGUGAUGAAAUCUAUAGAAGUAGGGCACAUUUCCAUAACAUGAAUAUUCAGGGUUGGUGAUGCAAGAAUUAUUAUUAAACCACUGGGAAGGAACACAUUCUCAUUAUUUGAUUGAAUACUAAAUGCUGCCUUUUAAAAAUAAUUCAGUAUGAAUACUUUGAUAAUGAGGAAAGAGAGAUGCUUGGAAAAAAAACUCAUACUUUUUUUUUCUCUGGUACGUAAGAAGGAAAUUAAAUUAAGUUUAAAAUAUAUAGCAUGUCUACAGGAACUAUUUUGGAACCAUUAGCUAUAUUUCAUCUAAACCUGUCUUACAUAUAUCGAAGUAUAAUGUAAUAGAAGCCUGAAUAGAGUCUGAUGUAAAUGAUUUAUAUAAAAAUAAAUUAUGUAAAGAAGUAUAAAUAAAGACCCCUGAAAAUAAAUAAAAUGCCUAUUACAAAUAAUAACUUGAAAAAAACUUUAAAAAACCCAAUAUUUGUUAGACGUUAGAUGUGUUUGCUACAGUUCUGAGUUGGAUGUGUAUGCUGCAUUUCUGUAAAUGACACAGUUUAUAUAUUUCAAGGACCCCUGGCACCUCUAAGAACCCUGGGUAUUCCUCAAAACUGAGUGUACUUCAUAUAUGAUGACAGUUCAGACAGCUGAAGUGCCAUCAUAUAUGAAGUACAUCCAGUUCCUCAUAGCCAAGAUGUUAUGCAUAGGAAAUAGAAAAGAAAGGAAAAUGAUUUGAUUCAUUCAUCCAUCAAACAUGAAUCAAGCCUCUGCUACAUGCCAGACAGUGCACAAGGCUCUGGUCCUGCACAAAUUAAAUAAACAAGGUCCUUGUCCUCUAAAAACUGAUGAUCUAAAGGAGGGUGCAGGCAAGUAAACAGAUUUUCAACAGAAAAUGGUAUGUAUUCUGUAAUAGAGGUAAGCUCAGAUGCCAUUGUGGAAAAUUUCUCUUCCUUUUUGCUGGUUUCUCAUCGUUCCUUCUAGCUCUUCUCCCCUAAUCAGUUUAGGUGGGGUUGUCCCUUAGGCCCAGAUUGGGUUUGUACCCUUUUGUUUCUCUUUCUACCUCCUCCUUCCUUGAGUGUGCUAACUCCACCCUUGAUUUACUAACUGGGUUGUGCUUCCUUGUCUGCCCUCCUAAAGAUGGCCAUCCCUUGUUAGUGCCUUGAGUUUUCACUUCCUCCUUCUCCUCAUUCUCUUCUCUCUUACAAAAAUGAAGCCACUGAAUGCCCAGUUACUGAGGUUCAUGCUUUCACUAGUAAACCAAAUACAUAUUGUGUUAAUGCAUCUACUAGGUGUUCCUAUUUGUUAUCACAACUAUGCAUAGGCAUCUAUGUAGCAAUUUUACUUUAAAUGAAAAGUCUUGCAUACUACAAAUCUUUUAUUUGAAAAGGUAGAGGGGUACAAGGCUGAAAUUUCAGACAUUGUCCCUGGAAGCUCCCUCUGGUUGCACUAUUUAGGUAAAAAACAAAUGAACAAGAGACUAGGUGAGGCAAAGUCAGUGAGAGACUGGAACAGAAGUCACAGACAAUUCUUUUUAGCACAACAGCCACUCAUCCCAUAUUUAUUCUUCCCAUAUUUCUUAAAAGGACAUCUGCUCUGUGUGGCGCAUGGCAGUGGGAUGUAUUGGGAAGAAUCUGGAUUUUGGAAUCAUACUGUGUUCAAAUCAGAGACUCAGCUGUUGCAAAAAUAAAAAUGCAUGUGCAAACACGUAACACACUGCUUGGCUUCAGAUCUGUGAUCAAUACAUGUGUUUCUUCAUUAUUUUCUUUCUUUCCUUCACUAAGAGAGAUAAUAAACAGUAAUCAUUUACACAUAUCUGAGAAAAGAAGCUUUGGAGAGAGAGCAACGAGUGUUUCUGGAACUGACCUCCACACAGAGUAAAUUCAGAAAUCAGCAGAUCUACAUUAUUUAUUCAAAGAGAGAACUGCAUUGUAAUCACUUUCCUGGAUGCAUGGGGUGAAUGAGUGACAGCAAAUACCUCAGUCAUUGUGAGAUGGCAACCUGAAGUAGGUGCAUCUGAGAAAAAGGGCAGAGACCUCCCCAAAGGUCAAACAGAAGCAAGGCAGCAGGCAGCAUUGCAGGGGAGGCAACUGCUGGGAAAGACACAGCAAGGAAGAGCUAUUAUGGGAUGCCUCUCUGUGAGGUAGGGAGUGACUGUAUAUAUGUUUUGAGACAUCAGAUCCUCCUCACCAAAGAGCCACUCUGGAAAUUCUUGUUUUGACUUCAUCCUUUAAGAUUUUAAAAAGCAGUACCCUGAAGCUGUUUUCUUUGUUUUACUUUGCUUUAAUGACUUAACAGCAUUACAACAUGGGUUUAAGUGCAAGAGAGUUUAGAAAACCUUUAGAAAAAUAAGUCAAGCAAAGUUCAAAAGAAAACAUGAAUCUUAUGCUAAUUUUACCUGUAGGACUCAGGGCAGAAGUGGCCAAGCUUUUUGGCAGAAGGCACUGUUGAAAGGUAUUGUGUGGUUGUGGCGGAGACAGUGGGAGGAUGAAGUGAAUCAGAAACUGUUGUUCUGUCUGGGAUGAGGGGAAAAUAUCUGAAACUACUCCUUCAUUGAGCAGAGGGCCAAGGAUAGAACCCCAAAGAACCAAACUAAACUCAAUCAUAGCAAAACAUCCUCUUUCUUUUUGUUUCUGCUGCUACACAGAAGAGAUGAGGUGGGGAUGGUCCAUGAAGAUGAAUGACUGCUUCCUAAGACACUGUGGCGAGGAGGCUGUGGAAAGAUGGCAGCAGCAGACUGUGGAGAGAAGUCAAUUCACUGGCAGCUUGGCACUUCCCCAGGUAAUCCAUUCUCAGAGUUUCUGUUCAAUCAAAAACUGUAGCUUCUUUGGUUUAGGAGUUUCCUGAGCCUGUCUCAGGGCAAUAACGCCUUCUGGGUUAACUGGAGACUUCGUCAGAGACAGAUGGGAGCUAACUCCAAAGAGUCAUCAUGAUAACUGCGGUUGUUCAGAUUCUUUAUUUCUGGGCAUCACAUAGAAUUUAGAUUGGGACUCCUUUUCUAUCUAACUGAGGGAUGGGAAUCAUAAUUGCAUAUUUAAUUUUGUCAUUAGAAAUGAUAAUAAACUCAUUGCCAUUAUACCACAUGGUUUAAAAAUAAUCUGUUAGAGCAUUUGUUUCUUGUUGUUCAAUGUAACCAACCUUAUUAAAGACCUUGUAUCAACAGUGUUGUUUUGUUUUGUGGCAUAAUUAAAAUCAUAUUUCUGACUUGUGUAACGUAUAAACAC
rnacentral:lncRNA from 1 species